rnacentral:lncRNA from 1 species
CCUCCCUUUGCCUCCCCCAGCAGCCUAAACCCCAGCAGAGCAGCGUGGGGUGCUGACUGCCUGGCAUUCGGUCUUCCUCAUGCUCAAUGGCCCAGUUGUCUGUUGCUCAGAAGUGCAGAUAACAAUGUAAUUCAAGCAAAGAUUUCAAAAGAGACUCACAGACACGUUGCCUUACACCUUUUUUACCUGCUCACUGUUUAAACUGAGAAAAAGACAGAACUGGGGGACUUCAGCUCCUGAAUAUUUCACAAGUGUGUCUCUGUUCUGCAACACAGCCAGAGCCACCUUCAGAGAAAAGGAACAUAGCAAGAAGGCAGAAACAGAGCCCUCAUCAGACACAACAUGCUGGCACCUUAAUAUUGGAAUUCUGGCCUCCAGGACUAUGAGAAGAUACAUGUCAGGUUCUCCAGAAGCAGAUGCAGAAAUAACAUCUAGAGUGUGGGGUGUUGAUUAAGGAUGAAUUUCUGUGAGCAGAAGAGAAAAAAGAGGAGAUAGAGGAAGAAGGUGAACUUCCUCGUGGGAACAACCAUGCCUCAGUAACCCCAGGAUCUCCGGAGGGAGGACUGGACAAAUCACACCUAACAGCGUGUCCUGUGUCACAGUAAAAUGGGCAGGUGUUUAUUGCCACUUGGCUCAGUCACAAAAUGCCUUGGCCCUGGGAAGGACAGGAGAACUGCAGGCAGAGCAGUUCUCUGCAGGGCGGGUGGAAGCUGAAGGAGCUGACAGCCAAAUGCUGUUUACAGACCACACUCCCUACUCCUGGGCAGGCAAGUCUGGACUUCAAGGGGAAGGUCAGCGACUCAGCCUCUUAUGACUUCCACACUUCCUUGCAGGUAUGACUUUGCAUCAGCUGGUCAUAAACACCCCUCACAAUGAUGAAAGCAAUGGACUCUGUCUCUGAAGAGAAAUGUGUGAGUGCCCACUGAUAAGUAUGUCACCAACAACUUCAAAAAUUGUUCAUAAGUGUUCCAAAACCCGCCCACAAGUUUUUACAGUGGAUAAACCUAAUUAGGGUUAACUUGACAUUGAAUUUUAUUUUCUUACUGCAUUUAAAUUCACAUCCAACUGUAUUUCAAUAAAAUCUCAAAAUCAAAAUGAU